rnacentral:rRNA from 1 species
CAUGCUGUCGUGCGCGUCCAANCAUGAAGGACGAGCGGCAGACCGCUCAGUUAACACGAUAGCUAACCUACCCUCAGGACGUGGAUAACCCCGGGAAACUGGGGCUAAUCCGCGAUAGGUAUGAAGGCCUGGAAUGGUUUCAUGCCCAACGGCACAGCAAUCAUGUUUGUUGUGUGCCUGAGGAUGGGGCUGCGGCUGAUCAGGCAGUUGGCGAGGUAACGGCUCACCAAACCUUUGACCAGUACGGGCCAUGAAAGUGGUAGCCCGGAGAUGGGCACUGAGACAGGGGCCCAGGCCCUACGGGGCGCAGCAGGCGCGAAAACUCCACACUGUACGCAAGUACGAUGGGGUUAUCUCGAGUGCAGUCCGAUAAGGGCUGCUUUUCCAUAGAGUAAUAUCCCGGGCGAAUAAGCGGGGGGCAAAUA